rnacentral:rRNA from 1 species
AUUGAACGCUGGCGGCAUGCCUUACACAUGCAAGUCGAACGGUAACGGGCCUUCGGGUGCCGACGAGUGGCGAACGGGUGAGUAAUGUAUCGGAACGUACCUUUCAGUGGGGGAUAACGUAGCGAAAGUUACGCUAAUACCGCAUAUUCUGUGAGCAGGAAAGCAGGGGAUCGCAAGACCUUGCGCUGAUUGAGCGGCUGAUAUCAGAUUAGCUAGUUGGUGAGGUAAAGGCUCACCAAGGCGACGAUCUGUAGCGGGUCUGAGAGGAUGAUCCGCCACACUGGAACUGAGACACGGUCCAGACUCCUACGGGAGGCAGCAGUGGGGAAUUUUGGACAAUGGGGGCAACCCUGAUCCAGCCAUGCCGCGUGAGUGAAGAAGGCC